rnacentral:rRNA from 1 species
GAUGAACGCUGGCGGCGUGCCUAAUACAUGCAAGUCGAGCGAACAGACUAGUAGCUUGCUCCUCUGUCGAUAGCCGAGGGCGGGUGAGAAACAUGUGGAUAACGUCCUUAUAAUACGGGUAUGCCUGCGAGAAACCGUAUCUAAUACCGUAUAAUAUAUGGUACCGCAUGGUUGAAGAGUGAAAUACGGGUUUGCGGUCACUUAUAGGUGUAUCCGCGUCUUAUGAGGGAGUUGGUAAGGUAACGGCUUACCAGGGCGCCGAUGCGUAGCCGACUAGAGGGGGUGAUCGCCCACACAGGAGCUGAGACGCGGUCCAGACACCUACGGGAGGCAGCAGUAGGGAAGCUUCCGCAAUGGACGGAAGACUGCCGGAGCAACGCCGCGUGAGUGCUGAAGGUCUGCGGAUCGGAAAACUCUGUUAUUAGGGAAGAACAAAUGUGUAAGUAACUAUGCACGUCUUGACGGUACCUAAUCAGAAAGACACGGCUAAUUCCGU